CCUACGGGGGGCAGCAGUGGGGAAUAUUGGACAAUGGGCGAAAGCCUGAUCCAGCCAUGCCGCGUGUGUGAAGAAGGCCUUUGGGUUGUAAAGCACUUUCAGUGGGGAAGAAAGCCUUGGGGCUAAUACCCUCGAGGAAGGACAUCACCCACAGAAGAAGCACCGGCUAACUCCGUGCCAGCAGCCGCGGUAAUACGGAGGGUGCGAGCGUUAAUCGGAAUUACUGGGCGUAAAGCGCGCGUAGGCGGUCUGAUAAGCCGGUUGUGAAAGCCCCGGGCUCAACCUGGGAACGGCAUCCGGAACUGUCAGGAUAGAGUGCAGGAGAGGAAGGUAGAAUUCCCGGUGUAGCGGUGAAAUGCGUAGAGAUCGGGAGGAAUACCAGUGGCGAAGGCGGCCUUCUGGACUGACACUGACGCUGAGGUGCGAAAGCGUGGGUAGCAAACAGGAUUAGAUACCCGAGUAGUC
rnacentral:rRNA from 1 species